UACGAAGGGGGCUAGCGUUGCUCGGAAUUACUGGGCGUAAAGCGCGCGCAGGCGGCUAUCCAAGUCAGUGGUGAAAGCCCGGAGCUCAACUCCGGAACUGCCAUUGAAACUGUUUAGCUUGAGGAUGAGAGAGGUGAGUGGAAUUCCCAGUGUAGAGGUGAAAUUCGUAGAUAUUGGGAAGAACACCGGUGGCGAAGGCGGCUCACUGGCUCAUUACUGACGCUCAGGCGCGAUAGCGUGGGGAUCAAACAGG
rnacentral:rRNA from 1 species